UCCACAAUCUUCUCUGGGCCAAAGCUCAUUUAAAAAGGACUGAGGCAAAGUGGAAAACUGUUCUCAGGUCAGAUUAAUCGAAAUUUGAUUUUUUUUUUUUUAAGAAACCAUGGAUGCCGCAUCCUGCAGGAGAGCUUGCUAUCCGCACACUUCAAAACCAUUAAUCUCCGAUGGCACCACUUGAACCUAAAGAAAGUGUGGAAGGGAUGCUGCGUGUUAUUGGCAGCCUUACUGAGCAGCAGCACGGUGGAUUCAUGGACUACACUGGAAAAACAAUUCCUUGGUGAACCAAAACAAAAUCACUCCUAUAUGAGAGGAUUCAAAAGGGCCAAUCCAGGUCCAAACUGCCCUGUUUAGUCUAUUAAGCAUAAAAGGCCACACUUAAUCAAGCACUGGAGCCCACAAGUUUAUUACAUACACAAUGACUUUGUAUCAAAUAUAAUUUCAUACAAUAAAACAAUUAAUGAAGCAA